GACUACGACACUCUGGCAGUAAGUCUCUUAUAAUACAUUUGGAUUGUUUGUGUUUUAUACAGUACUUUAAUGUGUUUAUAGAAAAUGAUGGAAAGACUGUUUCAAAGAACACAUGCAUUUCCUCUCUCUCUCCCUCUCCUACUCUCCCUAUAUCUUUCCCUCUCUAUAUAUAUCUUUCCCUCUCUCUUUCUCACUCUCUCUCUCUCUUUCUGUCCACAGAAUGUCCAUGCUGACCCUAACAGUGACCCCAACAGUGACAUGUACACACCUCUGAACAUGAAGACCAUGUCACCAGAGUAUGACACCCUGGCAAAUGUGAGGGGACCCUCCCACUGAAGAGAACCACCACAGAACCUGGACUGAAGAGAACCACCACAGAACCUGCACUGAAGAGAACCACCACAGAACCUGGACUGAAGGAAAGUACCUCAGAACAUCAACUGAAGAGAACCACCACAGAUCCUUUACUGAAAAGAACCACCACAGAACCUGGACUGAAGAGAAUCACCACAGAAGCUGGACUGAAGAGAUUCACCACAGAAGCUGGACUAAAGAGCUACGGUUCCAAUCCAAAGCCAGGCCUCACACCUCUAUUCUCUUGCAACCAUAUCUAGAUGGUUUUCCAGACCAUGAACUUUAGCUUUGAGUAAAUGGUGGAAUAUAUUUGUAAUGUUCUUAUUAUGAUGAUAAAUGGGAUGGGUUAUGCUGCUGCUUUUUUUCAAUGGGAUUUUCCCAUUUCCAUAUUUUUUCUUGUGUCCCAAUCUGUUUCCUAUCUGUAGUUUAAGAUUACAUUUCUGAUCUGUUCCUAUGGGGUUUUGCCAUAUACAGAUGUUUUAUAACAUCAAUAGUCCUACUUUCCUCAGUAACUAAUGUGGAUAAUAUUGAUAACAGCUAAUAUUGAUAACAGCUACUAUUUUUGUAGCUUUUGGGCCAAGUUUCUCCUGAUGUGUUUAAUGAUUUACUUUGUAUUGCUGUCAGACAUUAUUACUUAUUUGUAUGUUUUAUAUUACGUAAUCCUAUAUUGUUUUCUUUCAUAAAAAAAAAUGUAAUCAGUACAUUGCAUACAUUUAAGCAUUUGCAGUUUUUUACAUGUUAUAUUAAUUAUAAUUC
rnacentral:lncRNA from 1 species